GUUCCCCUCUGUUCACCCCUCUGUUCAGCCCUCUGUGUCCCUCUGUGCUCCUCUCCCCUCUUCUUCUGCCGCUUCCUCUGGAUACUUCACCUCUUACAACCAACUACAACCAACUUCUCCGACGGUUCCUGCUCAAGUUCCUGCAAAGACUCUUGCUUCUCCUCCACCCUUGAAGCCGUGCCAGCGUUCCACUCGCUGCCCAUCCAAGUGUGAGAGUGAUCGAGAACUUCUCCAAAGUUGCACGUCGCCCUCGUCCUACAGCGGUCUGCCAAGCCAGAGCCUCCUUCAGGAACGUCCCAGUCACACCACGUGAUCACAGCCGGCGGCCGUGACGAGCACGCGAGUCCAACUUCCAACAACCUUCCGCUACCUGGAGUGUGUCAUUAAGGCGACCACUCUAGAAGGUUGUUCAGACCGGUGAAUCACCUGGCACGAGAGAAAGAUACGCCUUCGGUCCUACGCCGCUCUCUGCCAGCUACGAUCACCCCGUCUGCGACGAAAGAUCCACGGCGGUCCGGAGGACGAUCCGAGAGUGCCAUCGACGCCUGAAGCUGCGGGUCCUCAUCACCUCCAAGUCACUACGCUGAGAACCAGGACGCCUCCUUCCAAAGCCGCCUGCCUCCUCCCUCACCUCCUAAUCGACCUUCUGCAUCUACUCAUCACCCUCUCAUCCAUCCAUCCAUCCCAUUCAUCCCUCCAUUCAUCGCCAAACUUAAUGGCCGCGCAGCUGGAGCUUGUUUGCUGAUUAAGCUGCGAGGAUUUCUACACCCGGGUUCCGGUCUGCGUGGCCAGAUCAUUGCCUUGCAUCCAAUGGUUUUACCCUGCCCUCAUUCGUGUUUCCUCACUCCGCGCUUGGUGUGACGUCCUUGGUUAUCGUUCUUG